rnacentral:rRNA from 1 species
UACGAAGGGGGCUAGCGUUGCUCGGAAUUACUGGGCGUAAAGCGCACGUAGGCGGCUUCUUAAGUCGGUGGUGAAAUCCUGGAGCUCAACUCCAGAACUGCCUUCGAUACUGGGAAGCUCGAGUCCGGGAGAGGUGAGUGGAACUGCGAGUGUAGAGGUGAAAUUCGUAGAUAUUCGCAAGAACACCAACGGCGAAGGCAGCUCGCUGGGACGGAACUGACGCUAAGGCGCGAAAGCGUGGGGAGCGAACAGG